CCUACGGGUGGCAGCAGUGAGGAAUAUUGGUCAAUGGGCGAGAGCCUGAACCAGCCAAGUCGCGUGAAGGAUGAAGGAUCUAUGGUUUGUAAACUUCUUUUAUAGGGGAAGAAAGUGAGGAACGUGUGCCGUUUUGUAUGUACCAUAAGAAUAAGCAUCGGCUAACUCCGUGCCAGCAGCCGCGGUAAUACGGAGGAUGCGAGCGUUAUCCGGCUUUAUUGGGUUUAAAGGGUGCGUAGGUGGUUAAUUAAGGCAGCGGUGAAAGUUUGUGGCUCAACCAUAAAAUGGCCGUUGAAACGGGUUGACUUUAGUAUAUUUGAGGUCGGCGGAAUGCGUGGUGUAGC
rnacentral:rRNA from 1 species